ACCUUUCCUGAUACAAGAAUUAGCAUUGAGAAUGUUUUUAGAGGUAAAUUUGCACUGAGAUUUCUGUAUAUUUACAAGCAAUGGGGCAUACAUUAGUUGGUUUUUUGACAUUAAUCGAGUUUAACGUAUACUUAUAGAUUUCUCGUACACGUACACAUAUGUAGUCACCUAAACGAACAUCCUGCGCGUGUUGUACAUGACCGGUACGGCGGCCCUGAUGGGGAGCGAGAACCGCCAUUGGAACGCGGCAGUGAGCCCCUCGGUGAAGACCUGCGCGGAGAGCAGGAACGUGUGCGGGGCCAUGGCGGCGAUCCCCGUGGUGUCCCCGGACCGGAGGCCGUCGAGGAUGUAGAGCGCCGGGAACGCGGCGCCGACGAGGAACCCGCCCACGAUGUGCGCGGCGAGGAGGAGGCGCUCGGGGCCGAGGAAGAUGGGCGCAGACGGGUUGGGCUUCCCGGGGCGCUGCGGGAAGGUGAUCGUGGCCAGGAGGAGUAGGUAGGGGAGGAGCAGGCCGAUCGAUCGAACCGUAAGAAAAGAAAUCUAAAUUCUGUCAUAUUUCUGCGGUUAUUUUCAAUUCCGAUGGUGGAAACGAUUUAAGGAUAAGUUGGAGGAAUGCCUCGAAGAUGUUUUAUAAGCUUUAAAAAUAGUGGGUGGUUUGAGGUAGUGCAUCAUUUGCCUUUUAUCUGAAGACUUGCAGCCAAAUUUUUUAUCGCACUAUGAGUUGUUUUGUGCACAUGCUGCGUUCUGUGUAGAUAUGGAUGAGAAAAUUCCGUGCCUACAACAUUAUUUGUGUCUGACCCUGUCCGAGGAUCCUGUGGCAUGCUCUGAUUUGUUUCAGAGUGUGGAUGUUCCGAUGCUGUGCAUCGUGUGCUUCCAAGGCAGCAGAAGGUUGUACACAUAUCAACGUCUAUGGGUGAAGAUAUCCUACCAUAUCUAGAACCUGUUUGAUAUGCAGAUUAGUCAAGCUUUUGCAGAGCAGUCCUCAUAAGUUGUUGUAAGAUACAUGCAUGCUGCUGUAGAACAGGAUUUUAUCACAUAUCCAGAGAAGGUUCUUGAAAUGAGGAAAGGCUUUAUUGUGCUCGGCAAGGAUGAUGAUUUUUGUGCAUGAGCUAGGACUAGCAACAGCAGUUGGCGGAACCAGGAUGGAAGUCAUAUUGCCUCCUUUUAUUGAAGCUGCUAUUUCAGGUUUUGGAUUGGAUUAUAGCGAGCUAAUGUAGUACUAAGGGAUAUAGACAACAAGGUCCACCUAGACCAUAAAUCACAUUGUUUGUGACAUCAACACAUCCAAUUGUAACUGUAGUCCCUCAUUUGUAUGACGUUACAGUCAACGUUUAACACCCACUGUUCGUAAUAUAUACAUGAUAUCCACUGACCAAAUUCAGAUAUAUGGAAUCCCAGAAUCAAUUAUGCAACUUGAGCAAGGUAUGUGGCCAUCUAACUUAAUCCUUGCAUACAGUAGAAGAUCUAUCCUACAAACAUAUAUCAUCUACUUUUCUGAAUUUCACUGGCAUCCCUUAGCUGUGUUUGUGGGUCGAAAACAUGUGUAUACUACACUUUGCGCAGGCAGCAUCCCUAGAGAAUAUAUUGCUCAGCGUUAUGUACCUAAUAAACAUAUGAUAAAUAGAGGCAUUUUCUUUCAUCUUGAUCCGAACACUCCUAUUUGGUGUUGGUGCUCUUUCUAAGUAACUAUAUGUUCAAGAAUUGAUCCAAAUUUAAAGGAUAAGAAAGUUUACAUUUUCUUAUAGGGCUCGGACCGAAUAAAGUCUUAUCAGGCUUGCUGCUAUGUUGUUUGUAAUAUAAAAACAACCAUAAUUGUGGAGGAGUGAGUCAUUCUCUCAUGGGGAUUUGUUUGCUUAAUAGUAGAAUUCCAAUUGCUUUUGGAUUUAUAUGAUGCAGCUUACAUACUCCCAUCACCCAGUAACAUAUCAAUAUCAGUUACUGCAUCGUACCGGGUUUAUAUUAUGCAUCCCUACUGAAAGUUCCAUUGUUAAAUAGAAACGAAGAUUACAAUUAUAGAUGAUAGAUAUAUGUAAUUGUGCGAUGCAUUCUCACUGCUUCCAGUAGAUACUAUCAUUUCAGAGUUCACCUAAAAUUUGCAAUGUUCAAAUUUUUGGGAUCAAAAUACAACUUUUUUUAAAUUUAAGCCAAUAUAAAGUGUCUGCAGGUUGACUUUUAAAACAUUUUUGCUUACAAGAAGCUUAUCAGUUGUAAUGUUUAGCACCUACAUAACCUGAUGGUCCUGUAGUGACUUGGGAUUGGCGAUUAAAGAAAUAUGGGUAUCAAGCAUAUUAAUGUGGGAAGUAGAUAUACAAUAUGUUAUAAAGGAGAAGACAAGUAAAUAUUGAGUGUGAAAGAUCAGUAUGAUUUUUUUACUAUCAUAUGAAUUAUUGAAUUUAAUCUGGUAUUCAACCCCUCAACAUUAUAUUUAAUACAUGCUACUACACCAUUACUUAUCUCUACUAUAAAAGGAGAAUUUGACAAGUAAUCAAGCAAGUCAGCACUAUCGUCGAUGGAAGUUGUCGUGCGGAGAUGGAAGUUGACAAUUUUCUCCAUGAAGUUGAUCUGAUGCGAAGCUUGUCCCAGAUAAAAGGACCAAUGAAGGAAGAGAAGCAAAUCACAACCCUUUAGUUCAUGGUCUAGGAGCAGGGAGGGCUUCUCUACACCGGUACGGUCUCUCGCUGGUACACGAUUUGAGGCAUAGGAGGGAGGGGCACGUUGGGAUGUCGUCUUCGGUCACGGCUAUAGCUUAUGAGAAGAAUGGGGUUUAUGCUUGGCAGACUGCCCCAUGGUUAGCAAGUCAUUAUUGCCGCCUCCGCUUCCCAAGUUGCCUCGGCUUGCUGUUGGUGUGUGCUGCUUCUGCAGCCCCUGUCGGCCGUCUCUUAGGUUCGGUUUUGCUGCCACUGCUGAAGUUUCCAUUGCCUCGGCAAGGCGUCCUCGUCUUACUUGCAAGGCACACAUUGCACCGCGGGCAACAUCUUGCUAUGCAUGGCCACUCAUGUCAAAGUUGGGUUCCAGUUUGACGACCUCUCUACCAAGUCUCCAUGUUCUUCUUUCCUGUACUUUCUCCAUCUGCUGUUAUACUCUUGCAAGUACGGCUUAACCAGUUUGAUGUCAUGUUGCUUUAGCAGUUGUGACGUAUGUGCAGGAUAGAUAAUGUUUCAUUGGUAGCGCACAUAGUGCAUCUAGAGAAAACAAUUGCUUUCAUCGGCAAACAUGGAUAUAUUCUUAAGUGGACAUUCAGCUAGAAUACAUAUGCAUUUUCCAUAUACUUCAGAGUUUUAUCUCUCAAGGGAGCUGCAUUUUUUUAGAAAGGGAAUAACACAUAUUGGUUGUUUUCAUUGUGUUAGCCACAUCUAUUGUGCGUCUCAAUCAUUUAAAUUUUGGGCAUUGUACUAUCAUGAAUCAGUUUUGCAAUAAAUUUGUAGAAGUUUUUGCCCCCAAGAAUAUACUGAGAAAUAUUUGCUGCAACUAAACUUUGUUGAGCAUGUCUAUUAACACUUUCCUCUUCUCCUAUUAGAUGUAAUGAUCUAGACCAAAGCAACCCUCAUGUAUAUUGAUACUAUACUAGAAGGCCACCAAAGAAUUUUACAGAACAAGAGAAGAUGGCGUGCACCAUAUCUUUAAGAUGACUUCCCUCACCAUGUGGCAUGCACUUUUCGGUUUUACUUUAGCGCAAUUGCCAUGUAUGUAAGGGAUACAAUUAGGCUGAAUAUUGCAAUUGUAGUUUUUUUCUGAACUUUUUCAACAUCCCAGCAUUAGUAAAAUACUCCCCUAUUCCAUAAUGUAAGACAUUUUUGCAAGCUAUAUGUUUGUUAUACAUUAUAUUGCUUGAAAUCAAUAAUUUACUCUUUUUUACUAA